rnacentral:snRNA from 1 species
AUAAUUUGUGGUAGUGGGGGGACUGCGUUCGCGCUCUCCCCU